UUUGUUUUUUUUCUAAAUCAACCUCUGAAUCACUGAAUACCACUUAAGCACUAAAUACACUUAAUCAUAACUUAAUACCACGUUGACUACGUGUCUUAAUGAAGUUCUGAAUGAACAGAAACCUAUCUAACUUUAAGUGCUAAAUGACUGCUGAAUGACUGUUAUGCCUUUAUUUAUUAAUGAAUUUCCAUUCAUCUCUCUCUUUCUCUUUCUUUUCUUUUUUUGUUUUUUUUUUCUUCUGCCAUUUCAACUCACAAAGAAAACUUACCUAUAGGAGAUUUGUUUCGAUUUGUUUCACCAUUUUUUAACAACUCGAAUAUCAUGAUGCUCUCUACUAUAUCAACUGAGUUUUAUCAAGCUGAUUAACCCAAGGUCACUUAUUACUCAUACAAGUGUUUUCAAUUCAUAGUAACCCAAAUAGAACAGAAGCAUGUGUUUCGAUUGGUGCAAAAGGAAACCACCAACUGAAAACACAAAGGAAAUGAGCAAUUAUCCACACACACCAAAACAUGUAACAGUGCCUGGUUGUGGUUUGCGUCCUGUUAAUCCUUGGCCACCCUCUGGAGAUUCAAAUGGUGAAAGACGCAAGGAUACUAGUGAAUCAGGUAAGGAGAAUCCUCUAGAUGCAAGAACUGCUAAUGGUGUCUCAAGUCUUUCACCACGCAAAAUGGAUCUACUUCCACAGGUUAUGAGCUCGGAUACAGAUGACACACAAGCCAAACAGUCUAAGAAGACUAGCAGUCCAAAAACCGAAAUGUAUCAAGUCCUUUUUCACAGUACUCCACAGAUCAAUUUCCACAGUCAAAGCAGGCAGAUUUCGGUGAUCCACCUGGAAGAAGGGUGGGAAAGAUGAAAUAACCUUCUCCACCUCCCUCACCUGAAAAGCCGAAGACGAAAUCCACAGAAAAAACAGAGAUCAAUAAUCACAUAUUCUACACCAUACAGUAUAAACCUCUUCCUAUGUAAGGGAUAAAGCAUCUAACCAGAAUCUGUAAUUGAUAGGUACGUAGGUGAGGGCAAUAUUGGGGCCAGACCAACUGACCAAAAGAAAACUGAUAUUGAGUACUGUGAACUGGAUACGUUUUUUCUGUGGAUUUCUCACAGGAAAUAUGCUAUUUUGUAUGAGGAGAUUAACUAUUUUGUAUGAGGAAAAAUUCACGCUAUUUUGAUAUCAUCUAUCAUGCCGGAAAAAAAAAAUUAGUUAAUUACAUUUUUAACUAUAGGUACCCCAAAAGUUAAAUGUGACAAAGUCCAAUCACGGGUUUGAUUUCAUAGAGUGAAAACAAUAAAAACAACUUAUUCAGCAUAAAGUGGAGGAUAAGCAUAUGGUAGACCAAGUUCCCUGAAUGUCCAGUGGGGGGCAAAUAUUCUUAUGCAUAUAGAUGAAUGCAUGUGAUAUAUGCUACUAGUUAAUUAAAGAAAAUGCAAAAUGAAAGUGAUUUUCUAAAACAAAACAGAAAAGACAUCUUUUGAAGUCCAGAUUUAAGACGUGAGAAACAGACACAGACGUUUGAAAUGCAGAUACAAAAUCUUUUGAAGAGACUAAAGCGAAUGACAAUAACCUGUAAGUGUUACUUUCUGCCAGGUCAUCGCCACUUGCAAGGAAAAGACCCAGGGCAUGUAUGACAUCAGAAGUCGAAUACCAGAUAUGUGGCCGAUCAUAAGCCCCAGUUGAGUCCCUCAAUGGUACUCUGCGUAUUACCGCUUCACUCAUAAGCUUACAGGUAAAUAGAGACCUAUCAGCUAUGCUCAGUUAAAUUCUCCAAAAGCUAUGCUCCAAGAGACAGUAAAAUAGAGACCUAUCAGCUUCACUCACUCACCUGACCCGAUCAAUAACAAACAUUUGCCCAUCACUAUUCAUGGGCAUUAUCAACUCGUGAUAUGUGUCGCACACUCGCGCUAAUAAUCUCUGUCGAGGCAACAUAUAUGAUCUCUCAUCCAUAAAUUUAAAACAAAAUACUUAAUAGCAUCAAGUAAUUCAUUCCAUCACAAACAAGAUAAAAAAUUUACGCCCCACUUCACAAAAACUCAUCUUUUAAGCAAUUAAUCAAAUAAUAGUUGUGCAUUAGGCAUAAAUCAACAUCUCCAUGAAUUAAAUUAUCACAGAUUUUUAAAACAAAAACCAUAUUCAUAUAUAUAAACUAAAAUUACAGUAAAAUUGUAUGUCUAAUCUUAGAAGAGCAAAUAACAAAGAACAAAGGGAAGAAAUCAAAAUGUUGAGGAUGAGAAACCAACUAACCUUGAUUUCGAGAAGAACAAGCAAGCGAGA
rnacentral:lncRNA from 1 species